AAGGAAGGGCCUGUGGAUUGGUGGGAUGAGUUCUCCAAAAGGAUUAAUGGUUUUCAAUCUCCAUCAAAGAGUUUGGAUAAGUUUGAACAAGUUUUCAGGAUUACUCGAAAAACCUUUAAUUACAUAUGUUCACUUGUGAAGGAAGAUUUGACUGCCAAAUCAAGGGAAUUUACAUUUCUGAAUGGCAAGGUUUUAUCUUUGCAUGAUCAGGUCGCUGUAGCUUUAAGAAGGCUGGGUUCUGGUGAUUCACUAGUGACAGUUGCUGAUUCAUUUGGGUUGAACCACUCAACUGUCUCCCAAGUAACCUGGCGUUUUGUGGAGGCCAUGGAAGAAAGCGGGCUUCAACACCUAAAAUGGCCUUCUAG
rnacentral:misc_RNA from 1 species